rnacentral:rRNA from 1 species
UACGAAGGGGGCUAGCGUUGUUCGGAAUCACUGGGCGUAAAGCGCACGUAGGCGGACUUUCAAGUCAGGGGUGAAAUCCCGGGGCUCAACCUCGGAAUUGCCUUUGAUACUGUAGGUCUCGAGUCCGGAAGAGGUGGGUGGAAUUCCUAGUGUAGAGGUGAAAUUCGUAGAUAUUAGGAAGAACACCGGUGGCGAAGGCGGCCCACUGGUCCGGUACUGACGCUGAGGUGCGAAAGCGUGGGAGCAAACAGG